rnacentral:tRNA from 1 species
GUCCGCAUAGCUCAGUCGGGAGAGCGCUUGGGUCACAUCCAAGAGGCCGCAGGUUCGAGCCCUGCUGCGGACACCA